rnacentral:rRNA from 1 species
UACGUAGGGCGCAAGCGUUGUCCGGAAUCAUUGGGCGUAAAGGGCGCGUAGGUGGCGGGACAAGCGUGCGGUGAAGGCUCGGGGCUCAACCCCGAGUCGGCCGUGCGAACUGUUUUGCUUGAGCACUGUAGAGGCAGGCGGAAUUCCGGGUGUAGCGGUGGAAAUGCGUAGAGAUCCGGAAGAACACCGGUGGCGAAGGCGGCCUGCUGGGCAGUAGCUGACACUGAGGCGCGACAGCGUGGGGAGCAA